GGAAAUAAACCCACAAAACCUGCGAUGCAACUGAAAGGUCUCAAAAUCAAGGUCAAGAUGCCAACAUCCACCAGGAAAAAAAUAUUAAAAUCCUUAACGCAGAUCAAUAGGGCACCGCAAGAACCGCUGAACAAAUCCCUCCUGUUUAUUUCUCCUCCUGUUUUCCUACCGUCAAGUACAGCCGCUUUCUGUCACCGGAGAAGGGAGCCUCGGACUAGAGAGAAGCGAACCGUAAGGGUGCAUCCCCUAAAAUCCCAAGUCGCUGCUGCACAACAUCCACCCACUUUCUCUGGAAGUGAAAUUUGUUAUAUAUACAAUAGAAUUUCUUCUCUGCUGAUUUCUUUAAAGUCUUUUAAGUACCGUGACUUGAUGACAGGCCUCUACUGCCAACAGAAGAGUGGAAGUUGCAGCUGGGGACUCUGUGUAGUGCCAGUGCCAAUGAAGUCUCUGGAGACCAACAAUACAAGUAUUUCUUCUGGAGCAGAAGACAGUUAUGCCACUGGUGGCAUGACCUUGUCCCUCAAUUAUUCUUUGUUUCCUGAGGCGGAAAAUUAUUGGUUCAACCCUUCUGGGGUUGGAGGAAGCUUAACUGGGGCUGGGAAGCCAACAUCAGACCACGGAACUGGAGAGAAAAUCUGAAUAUGGCAGAAACUAUAAAAGAGUGAGAAGAUUUGAAAGGAGGAAAAAAAGAAAAA
rnacentral:lncRNA from 1 species